UGGUUCUGGCAUCGAUGAAGAACGCAGCGAAAUGCGAUAAGUAAUGUGAAUUGCAGAAUUCAGUGAAUCAUCGAAUCUUUGAACGCACAUUGCGCCCUCUGGUAUUCCGGGGGGCAUGCCUGUUCGAGCGUCAUUACAACCCUCAAGCUCUGCUUGGUACUGGGCACUGCCGGCUCCGGCAGGCCUCAAAAUCAGUGGCGGCGACGUCCGGCUCCAAGCGUAGUAAUUCUUCUCGCUCACGGGGACCGCGGCGGCGCCCGCCAGAACACAACUAUACCAAAGGUUGACCUCGGAUCAGGUAGGGAUACCCGCUGA
rnacentral:misc_RNA from 1 species